ACGACCGGACGUGAACCCCGUUUUGGCCCAAGUUAUCCAGGCGGCGGGGCGCUCUGCCUCCCCCGGCUCCGAGAGGGUUUUUGGCGGACGGGAAGCAGGGAGAUAGCAGGUUGCCAGGAAGAAAUAGACAAUUGUUACUAAAGGAUGGACUAUAGAUGUGAAGUUCCUACACAUCUCUACAGUCCAUCUGUACAGUCACAGAACCACUCCUCACAAAGGAGCUCCAU